GGGGCCAUAGCUCAGCUGGGAGAGCGCGUCGUUCGCAAUGACGAGGUCCGGGGUUCGAUCCCCCGUGGCUCCACCA
rnacentral:tRNA from 1 species